ACGGCUACCUUGUUACGACUUCACCCCAGUCGCUGACCCUACCGUGGUUAGCUGCCUCCUUGCGGUUAGCGCACUACCUUCGGGUAAAACCAACUCCCAUGGUGUGACGGGCGGUGUGUACAAGGCCCGGGAACGUAUUCACCGCAGCAUGCUGAUCUGCGAUUACUAGCGAUUCCAACUUCAUGCACUCGAGUUGCAGAGUGCAAUCCGAACUGAGAUGGCUUUUGGAGAUUAGCUCGACAUCGCUGUCUCGCUGCCCACUGUCACCACCAUUGUAGCACGUGUGUAGCCCAGCCCGUAAGGGCCAUGAGGACUUGACGUCAUCCCCACCUUCCUCUCGGCUUAUCACCGGCAGUCCCCUUAGAGUGCCCAACUAAAUGCUGGCAACUAA
rnacentral:rRNA from 1 species